CUCUGCUGGAGAGGUGGUUGCCUGCAAAACCGGAUGAAGGCAGUGCUGUCAGGGCUUGGUGCUCUGUGAACAGCCACCUGGGGUCUGCACGUGUCUUCUGCCUCCACCCACCCCCGCUCAAACCCCCUUCCUAGCACCUCCCUCUCUGCAAGGUUCCGGAGUGGCCACCCACAGAGCAGCUCUGGGCUGGGCGCUGAGUCAUGAGGCUGUGGUGCCUGCCAGGGGGGAUGCCCGUUCCUGCUGGGGUAGCCAGCUGUGACCAGGUCAGUGUGGAUAGUGAGCCCUGGGAGACCUGAGGCCCUGGGCUUCCGCUUGACCUGGCUGGGUCAGCCGUGGGAGGCAGAGCCUGGCUCUGUUUAUCCAGGCCGGACACUUCCGGAGCAGAUGGGCGCCUGUCAGAGCCACCAGCCAGGAACUGGGCUGAUGUCCUCUCAUUGCCAAGUAGCAGUUCUGGGGCCAGCAUUGCACUCAAGGUGUCAACAAGGCUCCCAUCAGAGGUCCUGACGGAGGGUCUGUUCCAGGCCACGCUCCUGGCUUCCGGUGGUUGCCAGCAACCCUGUGCGUUCCCUGCUUAUAGAGAUGGAGUCUUGCUCUAUCGCCCAGGCAGGAGUGCAGUGGCACGAUCUUGGCUCACUGGAACCUCCGCCUCCCAGGUUCAAAUGAUUCUCCUGUCUCGGCUUCCCGAGUAGCUGGGACUACAGGCGCCCGCCACCGUGCCUGGCUAACUUUUUGUAUUUUUAGUAGAGAUGAGGUUUCACCGUGUUAGCCAGGAUGGUCUCCAUCUCCUGACCUCGUGAUCCACCCACCUCAGCCUCCCAAAGUGCUGGGAUUACAGGCGUGAGCCACCGCACCCAGCCUCUCCUCUCUUCUUGUAAGGACUCCAGUCAUACUGGAUUAAGGGCCCACCCCACUCAGUAUAACCUCAAAUUAAUCACGUCUGCAAUGCCCUAUUUCCACAUAAGGUCACAUUCUGAGGUUUGGGGAAGGACAUGAAUGUUGGGGGGAUACUGUUCCACCCAGGACACUUGGGUUGCCCAUCUGCCUCACUCUUUCUCUCAUCUUCAGCUUUUCCUCCCUCUUGCUCUGCCAUUUAGAGAGAGGACACCCCGUACCCAGGCCUGAGCUUUCAGGGAGGGUGAGGCCACCAUUUUCCCAAGAGCUGGCUGACUCCCAAGCAUUCGACUGUAAAUUAGAAAACCCAUUAAGAGGCAAUCAAUGUACAACUUGGUUUUUAUCCUGUAUAGAGUAUCAGAGGCCUUUGGGAAUUGAAAGGAAAGCUUUGAACUCCCACCCAGGGUAAACGUACAUGUGAACACGCACAGCUCUCAGUGGUGACACAGCCUUUCCAAUGCCUGUUUGUCCUGGUACUCCAGAGAGGGCCUUCUCCGGGCCAAGGAAUUUCUGUCUGGAGCAAAAGGAGGCCCCAAUGCCUCAGCACUGUGCUGCCUGUGAGGUCAGGGGUUGCCAUGCUGGGCGAGGACUGGGAAGGGUUUCCUUAAAUCAGACCAGCGUCAGUGUGUGUGUGCAGUCACAGGGUAGGCAAUGGAAAGCGGGUGGUGGAGGUAUUCAGGAAAAGGGUGGGGUGCUCUGCUGUGGUGUUAAAAUGUUUUUUUUUCUUGCCCCUGUAACCACUGCCCUCCAGAUAUUGUUGAAAAGAGGCCCAGAGCCUGAUACUGGAUCUCCGAGCAUUUAAAGCAGAGGAUCUCAGAUGUGUUAUUAAAGGGAAGGAGUAGGGAGUUGCCCAGCAUAACCUCCUCCCAUUAGCCUCUUUAUAUAAAAGCACCCAGACUCUGUCCUUCUGUGUGUACAUAUAAAUGUCCCUAAAGGUCUUGAAGGGUAAACAUCAAGAAGGUACCAGUGGCUGCUUCUGGACAGGAUCUAGCAUUGAGGGCAUCAAGGAAGGACUUUUCCUUGUUGCUACCUCUGUUUUGGUGUGGCUUGAAUGUUUCCAAUGAAAGUGGAUUCAAAUAAUAA